rnacentral:lncRNA from 1 species
AACUUUUUUUAUAUUGUGAAGACCCACAGUAAGUAGCAUCACUCACCUUUUUCCAUCUCAUGUAAAGCCAGACUGCAAGGCAAAACAGGUGGCACUCAUUAAAAUGAUACUUUUGCAGUAGGUAAAGCAUCAGGGUGCCCUUGCAUGUUCAAAACCAACACAAUGGACAGUUCUGAGAGAACAUUGGAAGUUCUAGAUCUCUCUGAGAACUAGAAAUCAAGAGCGGGAACUGGAGUUAGAAUGGCAGCAGCGUGUCCCUUAUUAUAGGAAAAGAAUGAUAGAAGAGGACAGUGGAUUGUUAGGAAACUCCAAUGCUUGAGUUCUCCAAGCUUCAAAGAAGGAUUCCCCACAGCUUGGAGAUAUGACUCUUUUGGACUGCAACUUCCAGAGCUGCUGCUACCGCCGCCAACCUGUGGCUGCCAUGGAUUUGGUGAACUAUACAGAAGGACUUGCCAAGUUUUUGACUGAUUGCCCCCAGAAAGAGCAGAUUGACAAACUUGACCUGGAGCA